rnacentral:rRNA from 1 species
CCUACGGGAGGCAGCAGUGGGGAAUUUUGGACAAUGGACGCAAGUCUGAUCCAGCCAUUCCGCGUGCAGGACGAAGGCCUUCGGGUUGUAAACUGCUUUUGUACGGAACGAAAAAGCUCUUAUUAAUACUAGGAGUCCAUGACGGUACCGUAAGAAUAAGCACCGGCUAACUACGUGCCAGCAGCCGCGGUAAUACGUAGGGUGCAAGCGUUAAUCGGAAUUACUGGGCGUAAAGCGUGCGCAGGCGGUUAUAUAAGACAGAUGUGGAAUCCCCGAGCUUAACUUGGGAACUGCAUUUGUGACUGUAUAGCUAGAGUACGGCAGAGGGGGAUGGAAUUCCGCGUGUAGCAGUGAAAUGCGUAGAUAUGCGGAGGAACACCGAUGGCGAAGGCAAUCCCCUGGGCCUGUACUGACGCUCAUGCACGAAAGCGUGGGGAGCAAACAGGAUUAGAUACCCUGGUAGUCCACGCCCUAAACGAUGUCAACUGGUUGUUGGGUCUUCACUGACUCAGUAACGAAGCUAACGCGUGAAGUUGACCGCCUGGGGAGUACGGCCGCAAGGUUGAAACGUCAAGGAUUGACGG